GAUGAACGCUGGCGGCGUGCUUAACACAUGCAAGUCGAACGGACAGACGCUGAGUUUGUUGGGUUCUCGAGUGGCGAACGCGUGAGUGACACGCGAGUAACCUCCCCUUGACUGUGGGAUAACUUCAGGAAACUCGGGCUAAUACCGGGUAGAAUCUCCUGCUGCAUGUGGUUGGUUGGAAAGUUUCGGCGGUUGGGGCUCGACUCGCUGCUUAUCAGCUUGUUUGUGGGGUAGUGGCUUACGAAGGUUUUGAAGGGUAGCCGGCCUGAGAGGGUGACCGGCCACAUUGGGACUGAGAGACGGACCAGACUCCUACGGGAGGCAGCAGUGGGGAAUAUUGCACAAUGGGGGGAAGCCUGAGGCAGCAACGCCGCGUGCGGGAUGACGGCCUUCGGGUUGUAAACCGCUUUCGCCUGUGACGAAGCGUGAGUGACGGUAAUGGGUAAAAAAGCACCGGCUAACUACGUG
rnacentral:rRNA from 1 species